AACGUAGGAGGCGAGCGUUAUCCGGAGAGACUGGGCGUAAAGCGCGUGUAGGCGGUCAGGCAAGCUGGGGGUGAAAGCGCCAGGCUCAACCUGGCGAGGCCAUCCAGUACUGCGUGGCUGGAGGCCGGUAGAGGAGUGCGGAAUUCCGGGUGUAGCGGUGAAAUGUGUAGAGAUCCGGAGGAACGCCAGUGGUGCAGACGGCGCUCUGGGCCGGACCUGACGCUGAGACGCGAAAGCGUGGGGAGCGAACGGG
rnacentral:rRNA from 1 species